UGAAGCGGCAACAGCUCAAAUUUGAAAUCUGGCCUCGGCCCGAGUUGUAAUUUGCAGAGGAUGCUUCUGGCGCGGUGCCUUCCGAGUUCCCUGGAACGGGACGCCACAGAGGGUGAGAGCCCCGUAUGGUCGGACACCAAGCCUGUGUGAAGCUCCUUCGACGAGUCGAGUAGUUUGGGAAUGCUGCUCUAAAUGGGAGGUAAAUCUCUUCUAAAGCUAAAUACCGGCCAGAGACCGAUAGCGCACAAGUAGAGUGAUCGAAAGAUGAAAAGCACCUUGAAAAGGGGGUUAAAUAGUACGUGAAAUUGUUGAAAGGGAAGCACUUGUGACCAGACUUGGGCCGGGCGGCUCAUCAGGGGUUCUCCCCUGUGCACUCCGCCCGGCACAGGCCAGCAUCGGUUCUCGUGGGGGGAUAAGACCGUCAGGAACGUAGCACCCUCCGGGGUGUGUUAUAGCCUGGCGGACGAUACCCCCGUGGGGACCGAGGUUCGCGCUCCGCAAGGAUGCUGGCGUAAUGGUCACCAGUGACCCGUCUUGAAACACGGACCAAGGAGUCGUCCAUUAGAGCGAGCGUUUGGGUGUAAAACCCGCACGCGUAAUGAAAGUGAACGCAGGUGAGAGCUUCGGCGCAUCAUCGACCGAUCCUGAUGUUCUCGGAAGGAUUUGAGUAAGAGUUUUAACGGACGGACCCGAAAGACAGUGAACUAUGCUUGUAUAGGGUGAAGCCAGAGGAAACUCUGGUGGAGGCUCGCAGCGGUUCUGACGUGCAAAUCGAUCGUCAAAUAUGAGCAUGGGGGCGAAAGACUAAUCGAACUGUCUAGUAGCUGGUUACCGCCGAAGUUUCCCUCAGGAUAGCAGUGUUGAUCUUCAGUUUUAUGAGGUAAAGCGAAUGAUUAGGGACUCGGGGGCGCUAUAUAGCCUUCAUCCAUUCUCAAACUUUAAAUAUGUAAGAAGCCCUUGUUACUUAGUUGAACGUGGGCAUUCGAAUGUACCAACACUAGUGGGCCAUUUUUGGUAAGCAGAACUGGCGAUGCGGGAUGAACCGAACGCGGGGUUAAGGCGCCAGAGUGUACGCUCAUCAGACACCACAAAAGGCGUUAGUACAUCUUGACAGCAGGACGGUGGCCAUGGAAGUCGGAAUCCGCUAAGGACUGUGUAACAACUCACCUGCCGAAUGUACUAGCCCUGAAAAUGGAUGGCGCUCAAGCGUACCGCCCAUACCCCGCCCCCAGGGUAGAAACGAUGCCCUGGGGAGUAGGCGGCCGUGGGGGU
rnacentral:rRNA from 1 species